AUGGAAGGGCUCAUCCAUUGGGAUUUCUCCCCCGGCCUUGCGGUCGCGGCUCAGGUGCAUCGAUGUUUUAGAUCUCCUAUUCACUUCUCCCCCUCUGGAUCGACCAAAGAGUUAUUUUUGGUCGUAUACUUCUCCUCGACUUCUUUUCCUCUUUCUGAAGAAUAAGUGGCCAUUGCCCUCCAAUGCUGCAUUGGG
rnacentral:rRNA from 1 species